ACGACUCUCAGCAACGGAUAUCUUGGCUCUUGCAACGAUGAAUUGCACAAUUCCGAGAAUCAUCGAGUCUUUGAUUGCAAGUUGCACCUGUGGCUCGUCCAAGGGCAUGCCUUCCUAAGCAUCCCC
rnacentral:rRNA from 1 species